CCUAAUAAUAAAGAGGCAAAAUUUCAGCCACUUUUUUCGUCUGGACCAUAUUUUCGUCUGGCCCAUUCCAAUCGGCCCAACUGUCCCAGCCCACUCCCUUCCAUCUGGUCCACUCGCUCGCAUAUAGUGCUGCACGGGAUUAACCUCAAGUCGCUCGGUUAAAAAAAUGUUCCUCUCCUUGCUCCGCCGCCGCGAUGGUCCAGCGACGUCGUCCCGCACGAAGCGCCGCUCCUCUUGUCUUGCCUGCAGCACCGGUGAGCAGUCUGCAUCGUCUCCUCCCGUGCCCAUGUUGUCGUUCUUCCACACGCAGCGCCGCUGCUCCUUCCUUCCGCGUGCAGGGACGAGGCUGUCGCUACUCUCAUCAUGGGCACUAACGGAGGCGCAAGGACAAGGAGCUACAGGCGAGGAAGAACGGAGGCGGAAAAUACAGCGGCUGGCGUGCUAGGCUUGCUGAGGCUCUGCGCGAACAGGGCUAUAGCCUGUCGAGAAGCCGGCGGCGGAGGCAGCCGGGCACGGCAGUAGAUUCCUGCCACAGAGGUGUCCAGCAAGACAGACGUAGCGAGUUGGAAUCGAAUCCAAUUGAAUGAGCUCAGAUCGGAAAAAAAAUAUGUCCUGGAGUUGGUUAGCAAAAGGGUUGAUAAGGAGAGGGAGAAGAGCAGUAAGCAAAGAAAAGCUGAAGUCAUGGCAAUGGAUGGUACCUGAAGUAGACAUGGUAUACAUGACGAGAAACUACAAGCAACACAAGAAGGAACUGGAAGAUGAAGUAUACUGGUGCUAAUCCAGCAAUAGAGCACCAUAUGCCUGCCAAAUAGGGCUGUUUGAACCAAUAGUCGUCUCCUGAUGAAGGCUCUGACAAAAUGCCUGACUCUAAUGCAUGCAGAGUUCUCCAGUUUCGGUGAUCAUUCUGAAAGUUUGUUUCAAAAUGAUCAAGUAUGGGCCAUGUAUGAUGAAAAUGAUAUGCCUCGCUACUAUGCUUUGAUCAGAAAAGUCAUUUCCACUCGCCCUUUUCAAGUUAUACUGGUCCACCUCAAAGCAAACAACUCCAAAUCCAGAGCCUCCAGUUGGAUCUCAUGUGGAUAAUCCAAGACCUAUGGUGAGUUAAAGUUUGAUGUCUCCGAGCAUACUGACCAAGUAAAUAUCUUCUCACAUAAGGUCAAGUGUGACAAAGGUCUAGGAGGCAUCAACAGAAUUUUACUAAGAAAGGUGAUAUUUGGGCUCUACCAGAAUUGGUCCCCUCACUGGGAUCAAUUUACACAUGAUAAUAUGAUUUACAUGUAUGAACUGGUCAAGAUUCCUGAUAGCUACAACCCUGCCAGAGGCAUUUCUGUGGUGCCUAUUGUGAAAGUGCUUGGUUUUUGUGUCAGUGUUUAAGGCACUUAACAACACAACGAGAAGCUGGAGGAUAACAAGGGAAGAGAUGAUGUGGUUUUCACACUAAGUGCCAUUCCAUGUCCUCACUGGAGAAGAAGCUCGUAAUGCUCCCAAGGGGUGCUAUGAAUGGGAUCCAUGCUCAACUCCACAAGAGCUUCUUCAUAUUCCACCAUGUGACGAUGCUAAAUAAGUUUGCACUUGAAGCUGAAGGUUGCUCCGUACUUAAGUUUUGUGUUUGAAACUUUUUAAUCCUUUCGCCUAGCAGCAAUUGUGCUGAUGUAGUAGCUUAUUAUCAGGAUUUUGAGGACUUAAAUUAUUAUGUGCAAUGUGCUCAGUUCUCGUUCUCGAUGCAAGCAUUGAGAGCUGUAGAAAUCUAUGGCUAUGCCUUCCCAAUUUCCUAAUAUAAUUGCGCCUUAGUAUGUGAUUUUUUUUCUCA